UACGGAGGGGGCCAGCGUUGUUCGGAAUCAUUGGGCGUAAAGGGCGCGUAGGCGGCCACGCCAGUCGGCUGUGAAAUCCCUCGGCUCAACCGAGGAACUGCGGCCGAUACUGCGUGGCUUGAGUCCCGGAGAGGGUAGUGGAAUUCCCAGUGUAGCGGUGAAAUGCGUAGAUAUUGGGAGGAACACCGGUGGCGAAGGCGGCUACCUGGACGGGUACUGACGCUGAUGCGCGAAAGCCAGGGGAGCAAAC
rnacentral:rRNA from 1 species